rnacentral:rRNA from 1 species
CUACGGAGGGUGCAAGCGUUACUCGGAAUCACUGGGCGUAAAGCGCGCGCAGGCGGCUAUUUAAGUUGGAUGUGAAAGCCUAUGGCUCAACCAUAGAACUGCAUCCAAAACUAUUUAGCUAGAGUGUGGGAGAGGAAGAUGGAAUUAGUUGUGUAGGGGUAAAAUCCGUAGAGAUAACUAGGAAUACCAAAAGCGAAGGCAAUCUUCUGGAACACUACUGACGCUGAGGCGCGAAAGCGUGGGGAGCAAACGGGAUUAGAAACCCUAGUAGUCC